UGAGGAAUAUUGGACAAUGGGCGCAAGCCUGAUCCAGCCAUGCCGCGUGCAGGAUGACGGUCCUAUGGAUUGUAAACUGCUUUUGUACAGGAAGAAACAGUUCUACGUGUAGAACCUUGACGGUACUGUAAGAAUAAGCACCGGCUAACUACGUGCCAGCAGCCGCGGUAAUACGUAGGGUGCAAGCGUUAAUCGGAAUUACUGGGCGUAAAGCGUGCGCAGGCGGUUUUGUAAGUCUGAUGUGAAAUCCCCGGGCUCAAUCCAGGAAGUGCAUUGGAUACUGUCAGGCUAGAGUACAGGAGAGGUGGGCGGAAUUCCUGGUGUAGAGGUGAAAUUCGUAGAUAUCAGGAGGAACAACAGUGGCGAAGGCGGCUCACUAGACUGUAACUGACGCUGAGGCGCGAAAGCGUGGGGAGCAAACAGGAUUAGAUACCCCGGUAGUCCCUGAGCGGGCUGGCAAGGCGCAU
rnacentral:rRNA from 1 species